UUAAUUAAAACCAAAAAGCGGUAUAUCACUGUUAAUGAUAAAAUUGGGCUUACCCCUAAUUAAU
rnacentral:tRNA from 1 species